rnacentral:lncRNA from 1 species
UAUGUUAUGUGUUUCUUCACCCGCUCUGGAUAUGAUUGCACAAUAUUUCAGGUACUGGUCCCCUUUAUGUUCUUUCUCAUUGGAAUAUUUAGGAUUCUCACUUAAUCACUUUGUACUUUGGUACUUUGGUGUGUGUUCUUUUGAUUUUCCCACAGAAAUCGUCCAUGGAUAUGCAUUGUUAGGUGACAAGUUGUUGUGGGUGGUACGGUUCCCAUCUGUCUCUGAUGAAAUAGUCACUUACCAUACUGGUUCGAUCUCAAUAUUCCACCCAUUUUUCACAUCUCUAUCAUAGCUUGGAUUUUGUCUCUAGCACUGUUUCUUUCCGGUGGCGAGGGAGCCCUUCACUGAGCCGGCGGAGGCGCCCUUGGCGUAGGCAGGAUUGCCGAGUGCGAGCUGCUGUGUUGGUUCGUCAGAGAGGUGAGUCUCAUCUACUUCGAAUUCUGGGGCAUUCUACUGCCGAUUGCAGUGCACACUAGCAAUUAAUAUAUAGUUGAGAUGUUCGAUUGGUUGUUGGUUGCCCGAUUGGGAUGGUGUUUACUUGCCUAUAAUCUGAGCUAUAAGAUAGUGGUACAUAUAAUCUGAAGAAUGUGCUACUUGAUUCGAACCAAUCUUGUAUCUUUCGUGUUCAUUUAUUUUUUCUAUCUCAAUUUGGACUUGUUCUUUUGCUUGUUUGUUUGGCAGGGUGAACAAGUGUCCAAGUAGAUGAAUUUUCAGCAGUUCUGUGAGGUACAGACCGUACUACUGAAAUAACAAGUCAUUUGAAGGAAGUAAUACAUCAGAUUCGUUUAUGGUCCUCUUGCCACCUUAAUAGUGUAUUUCUGACUACAUUAUGUUAUCAAUAGGUUGUAUAGCUUCCAAAUACCAUAGAAACCAAAGAGUUUGAACUGUUUUAACUGAGAUUAUGUCAAUAUUGUUAGUCUUUGCUCCUUUGUUACUGUUUAUGUUGUCUGGGUUCUGUUUUGGAAUACACAUUGAGAUUUCAUUAUGAAGUGGAGCUUCCAUCAAU